rnacentral:lncRNA from 1 species
CUAGGUUUCUGUGCAUUUUUGCCAGGGAUCCUUGGAAGGCUCCCAGAGGCUGAGUGGGCUGGACUUUCCUCUGGACUAUUAACUUAGGAUAAAAAAUGGGACACACUCCCGGUAGGUUCAAGGUGUUCACUACAUACCUGGCAUAUUUUACCUCCCUAUUUAAUCUUUAAAAAAAACUCUAUAUUUUAAAAAUAUUUUUUAGUUGUCAAUGGACCUUUAGUUUAUUUAUUUACAUGCAGUGCUGAGAAUCGAACCCAGUGCCUUGCAUAUGCUAGGCAGGUGCUCUACCAUUGAGCCACCACCCCAGCCCCUCCAUAUUUAAUCUUAUAAGCACCCUUGCUAUGGCUUUUAUUAUAUCUACCAUUUUGUUGAUGAAAAGACACUGAGACCUAGAAAGGUUAAACAAUGAGCCCAGAGUCACAUGGUUGGUAGGACCUGUCUGAUUUCAAGGUCCUCUCCCUGCUCUUCCACCUCCUGAGUCUCCAUUCCUGGGACUGCUGAUUGGUUUGACAGGUGAGGUAAAACCCAGAUUCCAGGAAACUGGAGAGCACAGGUAGCAGCAGAGCCACGGCAGGGGCUGCAGAAUAGCUUGUGGUCCUCUGUGGCCUGAAGAGCCAGUUUUCUGGAAAGGGAGUCAGAGGCUAAGAUCCGGUGGGAGUUUUUGAGAGGCUGAGAAUUCCUUGACUUCUCCACCUACUUGAUAGCUACUGAAUGCUGGCUGCAACUAGGCUCUGUUCUGGGUCCUGGGGAUGCAGUUGGGAAUGAGAUGGACCAGAACUCUACCUACCUGAAGUUCACUUUACAGCAGAAGGGAAGACACGAAACCUAUAAGGGAAACCAUGAUAUAACUUCAGCUAGCGGGAAGAGCUAAAGGCCCAGCCUCCUGGUGGGGGAUUCCAGGCAGGUUCAAGGUUGGAUUGAUGACACAAUGCAUAGGUGAGAAGUCAUCUUCCAGGGCUCCCUGCGGGGCUAUGCUAUCUGACAGAGGCAGAGCUCCACCCAGGGUUAGAGCAGCAAGAGGUCUAGCCUGUUUGGAUUGGAUUCCCAGGACAGGGCCUGGGGACAGGAAACAGGUGGAUGGAGCAAAAAUAGAGCUG